UCUGCUGAAACACAGCUACCCGUACGAUCACUAAAGUUAAACAACGUCGAGCCUCGUCAGUACGUAGAUAGGUGACCACUUGAGAAUAUCAGGUGCUGGA